rnacentral:rRNA from 1 species
AGUGAACGCUGGCGGUAGGCCUAACACAUGCAAGUCGAACGGCAGCACAGUAAGAGCUUGCUCUUACGGGAGGCGAGUGGCGGACGGGUGAGGAAUACAUCGGAACCUACUUUUUCGUGGGGGAUAACGUAGGGAAACUUACGCUAAUACCGCAUACGACCUACGGGUGAAAGCAGGGGAUCUUCGGACCUUGCGCGAUUGAAUGAGCCGAUGUCGGAUUAGCUAGUUGGCGGGGUAAAGGCCCACCAAGGCGACGAUCCGUAGCUGGUCUGAGAGGAUGAUCAGCCACACUGGAACUGAGACACGGUCCAGACUCCUACGGGAGGCAGCAGUGGGGAAUAUUGGACAAUGGGCGCAAGCCUGAUCCAGCCAUACCGCGUGGGUGAAGAAGGCCUUCGGGUUGUAAAGCCCUUUUGUUGGGAAAGAAAAGCAGCAGGUUAAUACCCCGCUGUUCUGACGGUACCCAAAGAAUAAGCACCGGCUAACUUCGUG